GCAGGCCAGGCAGCAUCAAUGGAAAAGGGUACGGUUGACGUUUCAGCCCGAGACUCUUCAGCAGAUGAUCCUCUCAUUCUAAGAAUAUAGCUUGGUGAAUCUUCUUCGGACUGCCUCCAAUGUUACUAUAUCCAUCUUCAGAAAUAAAACAUACAGUAGAUUACUGAGAAGAGAAAAUCUGCAGAUGCUGGAAAUCCAAGGAGCACACACAAGAUGCUGGAGGAACUCAGCAGGCCGGGCAGCAUCUAUGGAAAAGAGCGCAGUCGAUGUUUUGGGCCGAGGCCCUUCAGUAGAUUUCCAAUCCUGCAACCCAUAUCCCGACACACAACAAAACCCUUUCACUGGCUGUCAUUUUCAAAUGUCUGUAUCGUACAUACUGUCCAUGAAGCUGAUUGCCCUACCUGCCCCUGAAGUCUGCUCCAACCAUACUGUCCUCCAAUACGCUCUGGUUUGAACCUCACCGUCAUUCAUGGUCACCAUCUUCAGUUGUCUGAACUUUGUAAGUUCCCCAAGUCCCUUCCAUCUUCUUCUUCUUCUUGGUUGCAUUGAGCGGGGUGGAGAAAGCUAGACAAGUCGAUGAGUUGAUUUGCUCAGAUUCAUCCUCAGUUCUAGCAAGUUUAAGGUCUUUUCACUCAAACACCCAAGUCCCUUCCAUCUCAAACCCUAUCCCUUGAUUCAUCCGCUAUCUGUUAGAGUGCCAAGCUUUGACAAUACACCUGUGGAAUUCUGAGGGAUGCUUAGCCCUGUUAUUGGUGAUAUAUCCACUCAAUGGUCACUUUAUUGGGUGUCUCCUGUGCGCAACAGUAAUAAAGGGAUAAAGCCACUGAGUACCCAUCCACUCCAAGCUUCGACAUAUUGUGCGCUCAGAGAUGCUCUUCUGAACACCAUGGUUAUUUGAGUUACUGUCACCUUUCUGACAGCUUGAACCAUUCUGGCCAUUUUCCUCUGACCUCGCUCAUUAACACAGUGUUUUCACCCACAGAACUGCUGCUCACUGGAUGCCUUUUGCUUCUCCAAACAUUCUCUGUAAAGUUUAGCGACUGUUGUGUAUGAAAAUCCCAGGAGAUCAGCAUUUUCUGAGAUACUCAAACCACCCCAACUGGCACCAACAGUCAAUCCAUGGUCAAAGUCACUGAGAUUGCAUUUCUUCCCCAUUCUGAUGUUUGGUCUGAACAACAGCUGAACUUCUUGACCAUG